rnacentral:rRNA from 1 species
AUUGAACGCUGGCGGCAGGCCUAACACAUGCAAGUCGAGCGGAUGAAGGGAGCUCUUUCUUGUAUUCAGUGGCGGACGGGCGAGUAAUUCCCACGAAUCUGCCCGGUCGUGGGGGAUAACGUCCGUAAACGGGCGCUAAUAUAGCAUACGUUCUGAGGGAGAAACUGGGGGAUCUUCGGACCUCACGCUAUUUGAUGAGCCUAGGUCGGAUUAGCUAGUUGGUGGGGUAAAGGCCUACCAAGGCGACGAUCCGUAACUGGUCUGAGAGGAUGAUCGGUCACACUGGAACUGAGACACGGUCCAGACUCCUACGGGAGGCAGCAGUGGGGAAUCUUGGACAAUGGGCGAAAGCCUGAUGAAGCAAUGCCGCGUGUGUGAAGAAGGUCUUCGGAUUGUAAAACACUUUAAGUUGGGAGGAAGAGCAGUAAAUUGAAACCUUGAUGUUUUGACGGUACCAACAGAGAAAGCACCGGCUAACUACGUG